GUUCCUGUAGUUUUAUGUGUCUUUUGGGGAUAAUUUAUUGUUCC
rnacentral:tRNA from 1 species